rnacentral:rRNA from 1 species
AUUGAACGCUGGCGGCAGGCUUAACACAUGCAAGUCGAGCGCGGCGCGGACGGGAGUAUAAUGUCGGGGAAACUGCCUUAUGGAGGGGUAUAACUACGGAAAACGGUAGCUAAUCCCGCAUACCAUAAGAUGUGCCCAGAUGGGAUUAGAUAGUAGGUGGGGUAAGGGCUCACCUAGGCGACGACCCCUAGCUGGUCUGAGAGGAGGACCAGCCACACUGGAACUGAGACACGGUCCAGACUCCUACGGGAGGCAGCAGUGGGGAAUAUUGCACAAUGGGCGCAAGCCUGAUGCAGCCAUGCCGCGUGUGUGAAGAAGGCCUUCGGGUUGUAAAGCACUUUCAGUAGGGAGGCGUUAAUGACAGAAGAAGCACCGGCUAACUCCGUGCCAGCAGCCGCGGUAAUAC